rnacentral:rRNA from 1 species
GACGGAGGAUGCAAGUGUUAUCCGGAAUCACUGGGCGUAAAGCGUCUGUAGGUGGUCAAAUAAGUCAACUGUUAAAUCUUGAGGCUCAACCUCAAAAUCGCAGUCGAACUAUUCGACUAGAGUAUAGUAGGGUAAGGGAAUUCCAGUGGAGCGGUGAAAUGCGUAGAGAUUGGAAAAGAACACCAACGGCGAAGCACUCUGCUGGGGCCGACACUGACACUGAGAGACGAAAGCUAGGGGGAGCGAAAUGGG